AGCUGCGUGGUGAGCACAAAGCGAACUAUUCUUUCGCCUUUUACUAAAGAAUACCGUGUGCUCGCCACACAAAGCAGCAUACACCAAUUUUUGGAGGGAUCCCUUCUCUGUGUGAGAGGG
rfam:Sorghum bicolor cultivar BTx623 chromosome 1, whole genome shotgun sequence.